AAGCACAAGGUCCUGGUAAUCAAGUUGAUCAGGGGAGAGGAAGCAAUGUGGUAUCCAGCAUUGGUGAAACUGUUGGAAAACUUGGUGAGAAAGUGAAGAAACCAAUUGAAAACAUGACUAGUUCUGGUAAUCAAGUUGAUCAGGGGGGAGGAAGCAAUGUGGUAUCAGGCAUUGGUGAAACUGUUGGAAAACUUGGUGAGAAAGUGAAGAAACCAAUUGAAAACGUGAUUUCUUCUGGUGAAGAAAAAAAUCUGGAAAGCACAGAACAAGGAAAAGGAGGAAGUGAUGUAUUAGGAGCUGUGAAAGAAACUGUGAGUGACAUUGGAAACAACAUGAUUAAAUCAGGAGAUAAUAAAGUUGUAGAACGUGGUGUAACUCAAGAGGGUCAAGGUGGUGUUUUGGAUGCUAUUGGUGAAACUAUAGCAGAGAUUGCACAUACAACUAAAGUUAUUGUUGUUGGUGAAGGUGAUGUAGAAGAAAAACAAAAUAAAGUGUCAAUGAAGAAUAUUGGGUCAGAGUCUCGCUCAAAAAAUGAUAAUGCCAAACAUGAAGCUUAUCAAUCACCAAAGAGUGUUUAAUUACAUUACAGUGUGUUUUGUUUGAUGGAGGAAGUUUAGUAAUGUGUGGAAGUUUUCCAU
rnacentral:lncRNA from 1 species